UACAGAGGGGGCUAGCGUUGUUCGGAAUUACUGGGCGUAAAGGGCGCGUAGGCGGCCUUCUAAGUCGAACGUGAAAUCCCCGGGCUCAACCUGGGAACUGCGUCCGGUACUGGCAGGCUUGAAUCCGGGAGAGGGAUGUGGAAUUCCAGGUGUAGCGGUGAAAUGCGUAGAUAUCUGGAGGAACACCGGUGGCGAAGGCGGCAUCCUGGACCGGCAUUGACGCUGAGGCGCGAAAGCUAGGGGAGCAAACGGG
rnacentral:rRNA from 1 species